CACGUAGGGCGCGAGCGUUGUCCGGAAUUAUUGGGCGUAAAGAGCUCGUAGGCGGCCUGUUGCGUCCGCUGUGAAAGCCCGGGGCUUAACCCCGGGUCUGCAGUGGAUACGGGCAGGCUAGAGGUAGGUAGGGGCAGAGGGAAUUCCCGGUGUAGCGGUGAAAUGCGUAGAUAUCGGGAAGAACACCAAAGGCGAAAGCGCUCUGCUGGGCCGAAACUGACACUGAGAGACGAAAGCUAGGGGAGCGAAUGGG
rnacentral:rRNA from 1 species